rnacentral:rRNA from 1 species
UAUCUCUGUAGAGUCUGCAUAUCAAUAAGCGGAGGAAAAGAAACUAACAAGGAUUCCCUUAGUAACGGCGAGUGAAGCGGGAAGAGCUCAAAUUUGAAAUCUUCAAGGUUCUACCUUGACGAAUUGUAGUUUAAAGAAGUGUUUUUCUGUUAGAUGAGUAGCAAAAGUUCCUUGGAAUGGGACAUCAUAGAGGGUGAGAAUCCCGUAUUUGGUUAUUCAUUCUAGCUUUGUGAUACACUUUCAAAGAGUCGGAUUGUUUGGGAAUGCAGUCCAAAAUGGGUGGUAAAUUUCAUCUAAAGCUAAAUAUUGGCGAGAGACCGAUAGCGAACAAGUACCGUGAGGGAAAGAUGAAAAGAACUUUGAAAAGAGAGUUAAACAGUACGUGAAAUUGUCAAAAGGGAAGCGUUUGACACCAGUGUUGUUUUUCCGAAAAUCAAUUACGAAUGGCUUGAUUUUGUGUUGUAUUGACCUUAUCAGCUUUCUUCACUUUUUUCGAGUCUUUCUUAAUGCACUUUUCGGUUAACAAGUCAACAUCAAUUUCUUUUGUUGUAAAAGGGUAUUCAGAAGGUGGCUUUCUUUUCGGAGAAAGUGUUUAUAGCCCUAUACUUCUACAAUCGGAGAGAUUGAGGUCUGCAGCGUAGAUCCUUCGGGGUUAGAUACACUUGUGCUAAGUUGUAGCUUUUCAUAGACAACUUGUUGACUAUGUUUAGUCAUGCGGCUUACUCGCUUGUGCUAUUUUACCUACGCUUAGGAUGUUGACUGAUAUGUAGUCGUA